rnacentral:rRNA from 1 species
CACGUACUGUGCAAACGUUAUUCGGAAUCACUGGGCUUAAAGGGUGCGUAGGCGGCCGAUUAAGUAGGGUGUGAAAUCCCUCGGCUCAACCGAGGAAUGGCGCUCUAAACUGGUCGGCUUGAGUGAGAUAGGGGUGUGCGGAACUUCCGGUGGAGCGGUGAAAUGUGUUGAUAUCGGAAGGAACGCCGGUAGCGAAAGCGGCACACUGGGUCUCAACUGACGCUGAGGCACGAAAGCCAGGGUAGCGAACGGG